CGUUGUCCGCGUUGAUGGAGACCAGGGAAGAGAGGGGCAGGUGGCCGUUGUCCGCGUUGAUGGAGACCAGGGAAGAGAGGGGCAGCCACAGAAUAGCGUCUUGACUCGGACCCAGCCAGAGACCCUCCCAGAAAAACAAAGAGAAGCAAGACUUGCCUUUGUCUAAGAAAUCGCUCUCCUCCCGCCUCCAUUGCACUUUCCGUCACGCUCUUCCAGGGAAUGUCGCCAAGCUGAACCUCAGACAGAGCUGGGAAACAGUCUUUUGCCCCACAACCUUUGUAGACGGCCUAGUGAAUAAGCCUUUCCAGAGGCUCAGACUUGCUGGCUCAAAAAUCUGCCUGGGCUCUCAACCGCUGGUUUACCACACUGGAUCCGUGCGUCACCGAGCAUGCACAAUGCCUGUGGUUUAAUUCGCCUUCUUAGUCAACAGCGCCACCAUGCGUUCGCUUGCAGUUACAAAAUCUUGGAGAAGGUGUUUUUAUUUUGCUUUAUCGAUUAUUCUUAUCAACCCUAGUUGACGCUACUGGAGGAGUUUCUCAUGUUAUAUGAAUUAAAUAAAUGCAAUCUAGGGAAAUAAAAUGCACUUUUAUCUACGAGCAGCGAUUCUUCCUGGUAGAGUCCUCAUUUACACGAUUUAACGGAAGUGUACACAUACUAGUUUACCCCUCCCCUUUUGUAAUAAUUACACACAAACUUCAAAAGAUUUUUGCUCUAGAUGAUAGCAUGCUUCACUAUCCUAUUUAUGUUUUUCUUUUUUUCCUAAACUUUGUGAAAUGAGCCCGAAUU
rnacentral:lncRNA from 1 species